ACAGCAGCAGCCGCGGGAACACGUAGGUGGCAAGCGUUGUCCGGAAUUAUUGGGCGUAAAGGGCUCGCAGGCGGUUUCUUAAGUCUGAUGUGAAAGCCCCCGGCUCAACCGGGGAGGGUCAUUGGAAACUGGGAAACUUGAGUGCAGAAGAGGAGAGUGGAAUUCCACGUGUAGCGGUGAAAUGCGUAGAGAUGUGGAGGAACACCAGUGGCGAAGGCGACUCUCUGGUCUGUAACUGACGCUGAGGAGCGAAAGCGUGGGGAGCGAACAGGAUUAGAUACCCCUGUAGUCCCUGUCUCUUAUAA
rnacentral:rRNA from 1 species